rnacentral:rRNA from 1 species
UAGGGAAUCUUCGGCAAUGGACGAAAGUCUGACCGAGCAACGCCGCGUGAGUGAAGAAGGUUUUCGGAUCGUAAAACUCUGUUGUUAGAGAAGAACGUUGCAUAGAGUGGAAAAUUAUGCAAGUGACGGUAUCUAACCAGAAAGGGACGGCUAACUACGUGCCAGCAGCCGCGGUAAUACGUAGGUCCCGAGCGUUGUCCGGAUUUAUUGGGCGUAAAGCGAGCGCAGGUGGUUUAAUAAGUCUGAUGUAAAAGGCAGUGGCUCAACCAUUGUGUGCAUUGGAAACUGUUAGACUUGAGUGCAGUAGAGGAGAGUGGAAUUCCAUGUGUAGCGGUGAAAUGCGUAGAUAUAUGGAGGAACACCGGUGGCGAAAGCGGCUCUCUGGACUGUCACUGACACUGAGGCUCGAAAGCGUGGGUAGCAAACAGGAUUAGAUACCCUGGUAGU